rnacentral:rRNA from 1 species
AUGGCUUUAGUUAGAAAAUAUGGAAAGCCAGACGUAUUCCUAACAAUGACCUGCAAUCCCAACCGGGAAGAGAUCACACGUGAACUAGAGUUUGGACAAACACCACAAGAUCGCCCAGACAUUGUCGUUCGUGUUUUCAGGGCGAAGCUAGAAGAAAUGAAGAAGCAACUAUUUAAGAAGGCCAUUCUUGGAAAGGUUACGGCAUAUACAUAUGUCGUAGAGUUCCAAAAGAGGGGAUUACCCCAUGCUCACUUUUUGCUCAUCAUGACCGGAAAAUACAAGUACACAUGUCCAGAACAGUAUGACAGAAUCAUCUCCGCUGAGCUCCCUAACAAGCACAAGUACCCAGAGAUAUAUAAAAUGGUAAUCAAACAUAUGAUGCAUGGUCCUUGCGGUGCAUUGAAUAAAUUUUGCCCGUGCACAAAGAAUCGUCCAUCAUGCAAGAACAAUUAUCCAAGGCCAUUUAACAAAACUACGAUUCAAGGCAAGGACUCAUACCCAGUAUAUAGGAGACGCAAUGACGGCCGGACCGAAACGGUAAGAAAUUGCAAACUAGAUAACAGAUGGGUGGUUCCUUACAACCCCUAUCUGUUAAGGAUGUUCAACUACCACAUAAAUGUUGAUAUAUGCUCAAGCAUUAAAGCUGUUAAGUACCUCUUCAAGUACAUCUACAAGGGACAUGAUCGAGCAUCUGUAUCUGUAACCGACAAAGUAGAUGAAGUCGAAAUCAACGAGAUUAAAACAGUACAGAGACGCACGGUGGGUGACUCCUCCGGAAGCAAUGUGGAGAAUAUAUGGCUUUGA